GAUUGAACGCUGGCGGCAUGCCUUACACAUGCAAGUCGAACGGUAACAGCACUUCGGUGGCUGACGAGUGGCGAACGGGUGAGUAAUACAUCGGAACGUGCCCGAUCGUGGGGGAUAACUACUCGAAAGAGUGGCUAAUACCGCAUACGAUCUACGGAUGAAAGCGGGGGAUCGCAAGACCUCGCGCGGACGGAGCGGCCGAUGGCAGAUUAGGUAGUUGGUGGGAUAAAAGCUUACCAAGCCGACGAUCUGUAGCUGGUCUGAGAGGACGACCAGCCACACUGGGACUGAGACACGGCCCAGCUCCUA
rnacentral:rRNA from 1 species